rnacentral:sRNA from 1 species
GUUCUGCGCCUCUGUAAACCCUGAUGGAGAGGAAACUGAACAGGAAUAUGAGUGCCUGGAGCAAGAAAACACCAGGCUGCGGAGGGAGAUCGGGAAGUUGACGGAGGAGCUGAAGCACCUGACAGAGGCACUGAAGGAGCAUGAGAAGAUGUGCCCGCUGCUGCUCUGCCCCAUGAACUUUGUGCCAGUGCCUCCCCGGCCAGACCCUGUCGCCGGCUGCUUGCCCCGAUGAAGCUGGGGAUACUCCUCUGCCCAACAAGGAGCCUUGGUCAUUUUCACACCUGGGAGGAAGGCUUUCCCUUCACAAUUGUAUACAGGGGGCACCUGUGGCCAGGCCUCCUUCUGGGAGCUCCAGGACCAGCCAGCUGUGUUCCCUGCAGACUGGGCUCAGCCCGACAUCCAAUAGGCGCCAGACUCACAGAGCCCUUGUGCAGAUCCAGCAUGGAGGAUACCCUCAGGAGUGACUUUUCAUCCACCCUGGCAGCUAGUAGGUUCUGCUGUUACGCAGAGCCAUUUCCUCUAGAAUUUGGAUAAUAAAGAUGCUUAUUGUCUCUCCCUUCUCCAGUUCUUGGAAUUUAGAGGCACAAUACACUUCCUUUUCCUGG